UUCCUGGGAAUAUAUUUCUGCUGAUUUAGGAGGCAGUGACCUUUCAGGAUGUGGCUGUGGACUUCACCAUGGAGGAGUGGGCUUUGCUGGAUCCAUCCCAGAAGAAGCUCCACAGAGAUGUGAUGUGGGAAAACUUUACAAAUGUGACUGCUAUAGGAAGAAACUGGGAAAACCAGCAGCAAAUUGAAGAUGAGUACCAAAACUUCAGGAAAACUCUAAGGUAAUAUGCACUAACAAGAAUAUUCCUCAAAGGUCAGAAAUAUUAAAACCAAGCAAACUACACAAAUGAGACAUGUU